rnacentral:rRNA from 1 species
AUUGAACGCUGGCGGCAGGCGUAACACAUGCAAGUCGAACGAGUGGCGGACGGGUGAGUAAUGUCUGGGAAACUCCCUGAUGGAACGGGAUAACUACUGGAAACGGUAGCUAAUACCGCAUAUCAUCGGGAUUGCCUAGAUGGUAUUAGGUAGUAGGUGGGGUAAAGGUGCACCUAGGCGACGAUCCCUAGCUGGUCUGAGAGGAUGACCAGCCACACUGGAACUGAGACACGGUCCAGACGCCUACGGGAGGCAGCAGUGGGGAAUAUUGGACAAUGGGCGCAAGACUGAUGAAGCCAGGCCGCGUGUAUGAAGAAGGCCUUCGGGUUGUAAAGUACUUUCAGCGGGGAGGCGUUACCAGUAGAAGAAGCACCGGCUAACUCCGUGCCAGCCGCCGCGGUAAUUC